rnacentral:misc_RNA from 1 species
GUUUUAAUACAAGUGAACGGAAUAAACCCGAAUUUAGAAAGGAACUAACAAGGACGUUUCUCUCUUUUGUUUUAAGGAAUAGAUUUUCUCUCAAAAAAAAGUACCUUCUCCUUUGAGGCUUCGAGCUUCUUUUUAUCGAGCAGCGGCUGCCCCUACCCCCUCUGGGUUGGGGUGGCUCUUCCUCUCCCCAGCCCAAUUGUGGGUUGCUCUCCCAAUAGAUUUUGGUCUUUAUUUUCUUGGCAGAUAUGAGCUUCAACAGAGAGAGAGAGAGAGAG